rnacentral:rRNA from 1 species
AAGACGAGGAUAACAGUUGGAAACGACUGCUAAGACUGGAUAGGAGAUAAGAAGGCAUCUUUUUAUUUUUAAAAGACCUAGCAAUAGGUAUGCUUAGGGAAGAGCUUGCGUCACAUUAGUUAGUUGGUGGGGUAAUGGCCUACCAAGACGAUGAUGUGUAGCCGGGCUGAGAGGUCGAACGGCCACAUUGGGACUGAGACACGGCCCAAACUCCUACGGGAGGCAGCAGUAAGGAAUUUUCGGCAAUGGAGGAAACUCUGACCGAGCAAUGCCGCGUGAACGAUGAAGUAUUUCGGUACGUAAAGUUCUUUUAUUAGGGAAGAAAAGAUGGUGGAAAAACCAUUAUGACGGUACCUAAUGAAUAAGCCCCGGCUAACUAUGUGCCAGCAGCCGCGGUAAUACAUAGGGGGCAAGCGUUAUCCGGAAUUAUUGGGCGUAAAGGGUGCGUAGGCGGUUAAAUAAGUUUAUGGUCUAAGUGCAACGCUCAACGUUGUGAUGCUAUAAAAACUGUUUAGCUAGAGUUGGAUAGAGGCAAGUGGAAUUCCGUGUGUAGUGGUAAAAUGCGUAAAUAUACGGAGGAACACCAGAAGCGAAGGCGGCUUGCUGGGUCUUAACUGACGCUGAGGCACGAAAGCGUGGGGAGCAAACAGGAUUAGAUACCCUGGUAGUCCACGCCCUAAACGAUGAGUACUAAACGUUGGAUAAAACCAGUGUUGAAGUUAACACAUUAAGUACUCCGCCUGAGUAGUACGUACGCAAGUAUGAAACUUAAAGGAAUUGACGGGACUCCGCACAAGCGGUGGAUCAUGUUGUUUAAUUCGAAGGUACCCGAAAAACCUCACCAGGUCUUGACAUGCUUUUGCAAAGCUGUAGAAAUACAGUGGAGGUUAUCAGAAGCACAGGUGGUGCAUGGUUGUCGUCAGCUCGUGUCGUGAGAUGUUGGGUUAAGUCCCGCAACGAGCGCAACCCUUGUUGUUAAUUGCCAUCAUUAAGUUGGGGACUUUAGCAAGACUGCCAAUGAUAAAUUGGAGGAAGGUGGGGACGACGUCAAAUCAUCAUGCCCCUUAUGACCUGGGCUACAAACGUGAUACAAUGGCUGUUACAAAGGGUAGCUAAAGCGUAAGCUUCUGGCGAAUCUCAAAAAAGCAGUCUCAGUUCGGAUUGAAGUCUGCAACUCGACUUCAUGAAGUUGGAAUCGCUAGUAAUCGCGAAUCAGCAUGUCGCGGUGGAUACGUUCUCGGGGUUUGUACACACCGCCCGUCAAACCACGAAAGUUGGCAAUACCCAAAGCCGGUGGCCUAACUUGAGCAAUCAAGAAGGAGCCGUCUAAGGUAGGGUUGAUGAUUGGGGUUAAGUCGUAACAAGGUAUCC